rnacentral:rRNA from 1 species
AAGCCUGAUGCAGCCAUGCCGCGUGUGUGAAGAAGGCCUUCGGGUUGUAAAGCACUUUCAGCGGGGAGGAAGGCGUUAAGGUUAAUAACCUCAUCGAUUGACGUUACCCGCAGAAGAAGCACCGGCUAACUCCGUGCCAGCAGCCGCGGUAAUACGGAGGGUGCAAGCGUUAAUCGGAAUUACUGGGCGUAAAGCGCACGCAGGCGGUCUGUCAAGUCGGAUGUGAAAUCCCCGGGCUCAACCUGGGAACUGCAUUCGAAACUGGCAGGCUAGAGUCUUGUAGAGGGGGGUAGAAUUCCAGGUG